rnacentral:rRNA from 1 species
ACUCCUACGGGAGGCAGCAGUGAGGAAUAUUGGUCAAUGGCCGGAAGGCUGAACCAGCCAAGUCGCGUGAGGGAAUAAGGCCCUACGGGUCGUAAACCUCUUUUGUCCGGGAGCAAGGAGAUCCACGUGUGGAUGUUCGGAGAGUACCGGAAGAAAAAGCAUCGGCUAACUCCGUGCCAGCAGCCGCGGUAAUA